rnacentral:misc_RNA from 1 species
GAUGAAGAACGCAGCGAAAUGCGAUAAGUAGUGUGAAUUGCAGAAUUCAGUGAAUCAUCGAAUCUUUGAACGCACAUUGCGCCCCUUGGUAUUCCAUGGGGCAUGCCUGUUCGAGCGUCAUUUGUACCUUCAAGCUCUGCUUGGUGUUGGGUGUUUGUCUCGCCUCUGCGUGUAGACUCGCCUCAAAAUAAUUGGCAGCCGGCGUAUUGUUUUCGGAGCGCAGUACAUCUCGCGCUUUGCACUCAUAACGACGACGUCCAAAAGUACAUUUUUACACUCUUGACCUCGGAUCAGGUAGGGAUACCCGCUGAACUUAAGCAUAUCAAUAAGCGGAGGA